rnacentral:rRNA from 1 species
UACGUAGGUGGCAAGCGUUGUCCGGAUUUACUGGGCGUAAAGCGCGCGCAGGCGGGCUGGUCAGUCCGGGGUGAAAUCUCACGGCUCAACCGUGAGCGGUCCCCGGAUACUGCCAGUCUUGAGGUGUCUAGAGGAGAGCGGAAUUCCCGGUGUAGUGGUGGAAUGCGUAGAUAUCGGGAAGAACACCAGUGGCGAAAGCGGCUCUCUGGGGACCACCUGACGCUGAGGCGCGAAAGCGUGGGGAGCGAACAGG